GUUCUGCAGCAAGAAUAAGCUUGGUGCAACACAGGAACAGAAAAUGGACCAGUGAGGCUAGAGGGGUAUGAACAGAGGGAUGACAGUAGAAGAUGUGGACUCAGGAGAGAGAAAGGCAGUGCUAGAUCUCAUGGACCUUGAAGGCCAUGCUUCACUCGGGUCCAGCUUGGGGGUUCUGUCCUUGGAAGUGUCUAACGGGAGAAAUCAACUUCAGUACAAAGGAAGUGAAUUUAAAAUGGAGACCUAAAGGAUACUGGGUGGAUGGACAGAAGGAGAACUGAGGAUACCCCUUGGUCCUGAAGUAUCCAUCCUCCUUGACUGCUGAGAAGAGGUUAGUCUAAUUCGGAGUCUUAAGCAAGUAGAGGAAAAGUUUUCCUCCCUGACAGUUCUGACACGAGGAUGGGCUGGGACAGGUUGGGAUUCCCACUCACUCAGAAACCUGUUGCUGAGAUCUCCAGACCCCUAAC